CUCGCGACCACGCUAACUUGCACUCGCUCAAUCACCACACUCACGCCAACCAAAUUUAAUUACUUUUGGUCGUACAACAUGGUCACGAAAUGGCGGCGACGCAAGAUGGCUGAAGGACCAAGUGUAAAUGUGGAUAAAAUUAUCAGUAGUUCGAUCAGCACACUCGUUAACUAAUAAAAUUGAAUUACUUUUGGGCGUACAACAUGAUCACGAAAUGGCCACGGAGGACUA